GACGAACGCUGGCGGCGUGCUUAACACAUGCAAGUCGAACGAAGUGGCGAACGGGUGAGUAACGCGUAAUCAACAUGCCCUUCAGAGGGGGACAACAGCUGGAAACGACUGCUAAUACCGCAUACUGAAGGUGGGGAUUGCGGCUGAUUAGGUAGUGGGAGGGGGAACGGCCCACCAAGGCGAUGAACAGUAGCCGGGCGGAGAGAAUGAACGGCCACAAUGGGCAUGAUACACGGCCCAGACUCCUACGGGAGGCAGCAGUUGGCAAUGUUCAGAACUGGAAGAAAGUCUGACGGCGCACCGCCGCGUGAGUGAUGACGGCGUUCGGGUUGUAAAGCUCUGUUAAUCGAGACGCGGUACCGGAAUAGAAAGCCACGGCUAACUACGUGCCAGCCGCCGCUGUAAUAC
rnacentral:rRNA from 1 species